AUACGGAGGAUCCGAGCGUUAUCCGGAUUUAUUGGGUUUAAAGGGAGCGUAGGUGGAUUGUUAAGUCAGUUGUGAAAGUUUGCGGCUCAACCGUAAAAUUGCAGUUGAAACUGGCAGUCUUGAGUACAGUAGAGGUGGGCGGAAUUCGUGGUGUAGCGGUGCAAUGCUUAGAUAUCACGAAGAACACCGAUUGCGAAGGCAGCUCACUAGACUGUUACUGACACUGAUGCUCGAAAGUGUGGGUAUCAAACAGGAUUAGAUACCCUGGUAGUCCACACAGUAAACGAUGAAUACUCGCUGUUUGCGAUAUACAGUAAGCGGCCAAGCGAAAGCAUUAAGUAUUCCACCUGGGGAGUACGCCGGCAACGGUGAAACUCAAAUGAAUUGACGGGG
rnacentral:rRNA from 1 species